rnacentral:rRNA from 1 species
GCAUGGUUGUCGUCAGCUCGUGUCGUGAGAUGUUGGGUUAAGUCCCGCAACGAGCGCAACCCUCGUUGCCAGUUACAAGUGUCUGGCGAUACUGCCGGUAUCAAGCCGGAGGAAGGUGGGGAUGACGUCAAGUCAGCAUGGCCUUUAUAUCCAGGGCUACACACACGCUACAAUGGUCGGUACAAUGAGUUGCCAAGCCGCGAGGCGGAGCUAAUCUCACCAAAACCGGCCUCAGUUCGGAUUGGAGGCUGCAACCCGCCUCCAUGAAGUCGGAGUUGCUAGUAAACGCCGGUCAGCUAUACGGCGUUCGAAUACGUUCCCGGGCCUU